rnacentral:rRNA from 1 species
AGAGUUUGAUCAUGGCUCAGGAUGAACGCUGGCGGCGUGCUUAACACAUGCAAGUCGAACGAUUAAGACACCUUCGGGUGUGUAUAAAGUGGCGAACGGGUGAGUAACACGUGACCAACCUACCCCGUGCACCGGGACAACCACCGGAAACAGUGGCUAAUACCGGAUAAUGCUAGAUAAGCGCAUGUUUUUCUAGCCAAAGCACAUACGGCACGGGAUGGGGUCGCGGCCCAUCAGGUUGUAGGCGGGGUAACGGCCCACCUAGCUUUCGACGGGUAGCCGAGCUGAGAGGCUGAUCGGCCACAUUGGGACUGAGAUACGGCCCAGACUCCUACGGGAGGCAGCAGUGGGGAAAUUUGCGCAAUGGGGGAAACCGUGACGCAGCAACGCCGCGCGCGGGAUGAAGGCCUUCGGGUUGUAAACCGCUUUCAGUAGGAAAGAACACAAUGACGGUACCUACAGAAGAAGCCCCGGCUAACUACGUGCCAGCAGCCGUGGUAAUACGUAGGGGGCAAGCGUUAUCCGGAUUCAUUGGGCGUAAAGCGCGCGUAGGUGGACAUCUAAGCGGGACCUCUAAUCCGCAGCUCAACCUUUACGCCGGGUUCCGAACUGGAUGUCUUCGAGUUGGGUAGGGGAGGUCGGAAUUUCCCGGUGUAGCGGGUGGAAUGCGCAGAUAUCGGGAAGAACACCGAUGGCGAAGGCA